UUUAAUAAGCUGUUGUUGAACUCCCUUUAGUAAAUAAGCCAAAGUAGAUUGUUUGAUAAAUCUAUAUUUGCAUCCUAAACAAAAAUGAAGUUGUUAGAAUACUUAAUAGAGUUAUCUAAAGAAAUAAUUUGUAGUACUCAAAAAAGUAACUCAAACGAAUAUAUGUUAUAAUCAAUUACAAUUAUUACUUGCAACAAGUAAAGAUAUUAAACGUAUCCGUGAAGAUAUAACCGACAACUAAUCUACAUUUAGAUAUUCAUGUGAUCUAAAGAGAUUUUAUACAAUAUUUCAUAUGUAAAGAAUCUUAACUUAAUUAAUUCUCUUUUCAAUUAUUUUUAAAAUCCCGCCUAACUACAAAUUAGAAAUUUCAAUGUAUUAACAUUGACGCCAUUAUUUUCUUAUUAGCAACAGAAUGACUGUGAGAAUUCAUUGAACAAUUUUAUACCUAUCAACUUUGUUUUAAAGGUGAUUAUACUAUUCCUCAGUUCCAGUGCAUGUAACUGAGAACAAACCGUGUAGUUUCUGCUAACAUAGCCCUUCAAUGAAGAGGAUGAAAAGAAAGCAUCAACCUCGGUUUGAGGAUGAUGGUCAUCGGCUGCGUUCCCAAUCUGUUUCAAAACAGAGAAUAGAUCAUUCUCAAAGAAAAGAUGUCCCUUUGAGUACAGUUUUUGGAAGAUUAAAGAGUGAUAUUACCAAUAAUAGAGUCUCAUCAAGGUUUAAAACACAAGUUUCAGUGUCAAAUCCUACAAACAAACGAGGUGUUUUAUAUUCUAUAUUGACCAUUGUUUAUAUACCAGGUUUCCUCACGUUCAGCUAAAAUCUCUAAUUUCAUUUGGUGUAGUUUGUUUUGACAAAAAAAAUGAUGAGAACCCUAAUGACAAGAAAAAGAGUCGAAGAGAUCAAGGUCUGUUUAUAUAUCCUAAUUUACUGAUAAUAGCUGAGACUGCAAUGAUAGAUGAUUAAUUUUUUUGUUCAUUAUGUAAUAUACUAAUAUAAUACUCCCAUUUCAGGUAUAGUAAGAGGAUCAUGUUCAAGUCAUGUCACAUUUCAAAGAGAAAACACACCAAAUACAAAAAUACCUAUAACAUCCACCAGUCAUACUACAUUUGAUUCAGGAAUUUCAAACACAUCUUAUGUAGAACAUGAUUUUCCUAUAGAUGAUCCAGAGAAUGAAGGUAAACCGUUUUCCAUCCAGAGGAUGAUUUGAACUUUAUGUUGUUUCGUCCCUUUCUAAAUUCAUACGUUAGAUACUUUUAUCAUGUGUAUGUUUUGCAGAUUUACUGCGAUCCAUAGAUGAGUGUGAUGAUCUAGAAGUCGAAUGUAGUAGUCAGGAAAGUUCGGAUACUGAAAUUUCAGAUGACGAACAGUCUGUUGUACAAGAACCACAGAAAGAAGAUCAAACAGAGAGAGUUAGCUUUCUAGCAGCUUUAUUUAAAAAAAACUUCUCUGAGGUGAAAAAACCACCGAAGCCAAAAGUGAAAGCAGUGUCAUCAUCUGAAUAUGGUAAGCUAAAAUUUGUCAAUAGAUGGUUUCUAUGUAGACUAUUUUUUUCUAACCUAUAAACAUUAUUAUAAAGCAGAUUAUGUUGAUGAAGGUGACCCAACUUACACCUGUGUUCAUUGUGGAGCUAUCAUGUGGUUUGGAGAGCGCAUAAAUAAGACCAAAUCUAGAAAAAAACCUAUAUUUACAUUGUGUUGCAUGCAAGGUCAGGUCCAGUUGCCCUUAUUAAAGAAAUCCCCGGAUGUUCUAAUGAAGCUUCUCACAGGAAAUGAUAAGCUGAGUAAACAUUUCCAAAAGAAUACCAGAUCAUAUAAUAUGGUUUUUUCAUUCACUUCACUUGGUGGUAAAGUAGAUAAGUCUGUUAGAAAGGGAAGAGGACCACAAAUGUUGGUGCUUCAUGGUGAGAAUUAUCAUCUGAUGGGAAGUUUAACCCCACCUGAAGGAAAUUAUGCCAAGUUUGGACAGCUUUACAUUGUUGACACAGAGAAUGAACUUCAAAACAGAUCUAAAGCUUUGAGGUAAGUAAUUUAAUUUUGCAUAUAAGUGCUUAAACAUUACUAUAUGCGUGUUAUAUAAACUUAUUAUAUCUACUUUACUGUUUUUCAGGAAUGGGAAAAAUACUCAGACAGAGAGUACAAUCGAUGGGUUGAAGAAAGAAAUUAUUCAGCCUAUAAUGAUGAUGUUGAAUGAUGUUAAUCCAUAUGUUAAGCAGUUUCGAUCAGCUAGAGAUAGAUUUCGAAUGAAUCCGGAAGAGACUUUCCAUAUGCGAAUCGUAAGUAGAAGUGACAGAGAUGGUCGGACAUAUAAUAUGCCAACUGCAUCUGAGGUUGCUGCAUUGAUUCCUGGAGAUUUUAAUUUAGGAAUGGAUAAGCGGGAUAUUGUUCUACAGCAUAAGUCUGGUAGACUUACAAGGAUCGAUGAGAUUCAUAUUUCCUAUUUAGCACUCCAGUAUCCUCUGCUAUUUGUGUAUGGUGAGGAUGGAUUCAGGAUUGGCAUUAAGAAGGGUGUCACAGAAGCGUCGAAGAAACUCAAGAAAGAUACUAUCAGUAUGAGACAGUUUUUUGCUUUCCGGAUGCAAGAGCGAGAAAAUGAAUCACAUGUUCUUCUAUACUCCAGAAGGUUAUUUCAACAAUUCAUAGUUGAUGCAUAUACGACUAUAGAAGCCAACAGACUUAGGUAUCUGCAGCUCAACCAGACAUGCUUGCGUUCGGAUAGUUACGACUCUAUCAAGGAGUCUGAAAAUGCUGGACAGUCGGACAUGAAUGAACAAGGUCAGCAAUUUGUGCUACCAGCUACUUUCACAGGGGGUCCUAGAUACAUGAAGAAUAUGUACUUAGACGCUAUGGCCAUUUGUAGACAUUUUGGUUUUCCAGACCUUUUCAUCACCUUUACAUGCAAUCCAAAAUGGCCAGAACUUACGAGAUUUCUGAAAAAGAGAGGCCUGAAUUCAGAUGACAGACCAGAUGUUAUAUGUCGGAUGUUUAAGAUGAAACUCGAUUCUUUGAUGCAUGAUUUGACAAAGAAGAAUAUAUUGGGGAAAACAGCUUCAUGUAAGUUCGUUUUUGACUCAAUCUUAGCUUAAAAUAUUUCUUAUUAUUUCUAUACUGACUUGGUCGUUUUCUUACAAUAAUGGCAACUGUUUUUUUUAAUAUAUUUCAGCUAUGUAUACUGUUGAGUUUCAGAAGAGAGGUUUGCCACAUGCUCACAUACUGCUUUUUAUGCAUCCUUCAUCCAAAUUUCCAAAAACAGAAGACAUCGAUAAAAUCAUAUCGGCUGAGAUUCCUGAUAAGUCGCUUGAUCCAGAUCUCUACAAUGUUGUUAAGGAUAUGAUGAUUCAUGGUCCGUGCGGAGCAGCUAAUAGGAAUUCACCGUGCAUGGAAAAUGGACAGUGUUCGAAAAGUUUUCCUAAACCCUUUGCUGAUAAUACUAGAGUGAAAAAAGAUGGAUUUCCUGUUUACAGAAGACGUGAGCAAUCUAACAGUUAUGUUGAGAAGAAUGGUUUGAAAUGUGACAACAGAUGGGUCAUCCCUUAUAACAAGAAACUCUCUCUUCGGUACCGAGCACACAUUAACGUAGAGUGGUGCAACCAAGUUGGUUCCAUUAAGUAUUUAUUUAAAUACAUUAAUAAAGGAGCUGACCGUGUAACUGUGGUAGUUGAACCAACAGGGCCAGAUGUUGCGAAUCAAACAGCACCAAAUUCGUCUGCAGGGAACUCAGCUACAGCGACCUCGGCCGCAGCUAGCUCAGUUGCAGCGAAAUCAGUAGCAGCUAACUCGGCGUUAGGAAACUCUGCCAUGGAGACUGGUGGUAACAUAUUGAAAGAAACUGUGGAGAUUAAAAAAAAUGAAAUAAAGGAUUUCUUUGAUUGCAGGUAGUUUAUUAACUGAUCCAUAAAUAUUUUAUUUUCAGGAGGUAGUAUUUAUUUCAAUCUUAGAUUCUAACUUAUAUUGUUCUGAUCAAUGUAGAUAUGUUUCAACUUGUGAAGGAUCAUGGAGAAUUUUUAAGUUUCCAAUACAUUACAGAUCUACUGCGGUUGAGAAGUUGUCAUUUCAUCUUCCAGGGAAACAGACCAUUAUCUUCAAAGGGAAGGAUAAAGUUAAGGAUGUUGUCAGUCGUAAGCUCAUCGAAAACACAAUGUUCUUGGCAUGGUUUGAGCUGUGUAAGGUUGAUGCGUUUGCUCGGACUCUUACAUAUAUUCAGAUUCCCAACUAUUAUACAUAUUCGAAGAGUCAGAAGAAGUUCAAUAGAAGGAAACAAGGUUUCAGUGUUGGAAGAAUUAAUUAUGCCCCAAGGAAGCAGGAAAGCUCUUAUUAUUUGAGAGUUUUGUUGAACUAUGUCAAAGGUCCUACUAGCUACGAGGAUAUUAAAACAUAUAAUGAUGUGCUUUAUGAGGGGUAUAAAGAAACAUGUUAUGCUCGGGGAAUAUUGGAUGAUGACCAGGAGUACAUAGAUGAUUUGAUAAGGCGUAGCUAUGAUAGUUCUGCAGCAGUUGUUCGUGAUCUAUUUGUUCUAAUGCUUCUCUCGAACAGUCUUUCUCAACCAGAGGUGGUUUGGGAAAAAACUUGGGAACUCUUAUCUGAAGAUAUCGAGUAUAAUCGCAGACAUCAUUUCAAUAGGCCUGGUACACUACUAACUUAUUAUAUCAAAUUCCCCUAUUGUAUCUACGUUUUUGUCAAAUUGUUGUUUGUUGAUUGUUCUAAUAAUCAGCUAUUUAUUAUGUGAGACUGUUGUUUUAUUAGAGUUUACAGCUUCACAUGAGAGUUCUUUUUGUGAAUUGGCAGGACUUAAAUUGACUGACAAUGACAAGAAGUUGUAUGCUCUAAUAGAGAUUGAGAAGCUUAUGAAAAGAAAUGGGAGUUCACUUUCACUAUAUGAGUCUAUGCCAAAGCUUCCUGCCAAUGCCAAAUCGAUUGAAAAUGUCUUGAUAUUGGAUGAGCUAAGUUAUGAUAUGGAAGACUUGCAAGCCACUCAUGAUAUAGAUUUUUCAAAGAUGACUGAUGAGCAAAGGAAAAUCUAUGAUGAGAUCAUUAGUGCUGUUGUUGAAGAUAGAGGUGGAAUGUUCUUUGUUUACGGGUUUGGUGGCACAGGAAAAACCUUUCUUUGGAAACUUCUAUCAGCUGCUUUGAGGUGCAAGGGAGAUAUAGUUCUUAAUACUGCAUCAUCCGGAAUUGCUUCCCUGUUGUUACCAGGUGGCAGAACUGCUCAUUCCCGUUUUAGCAUACCCAUCAAUCCAGAUGAAUUCACUACAUGUUCACUGACUCCCGGAUCGGAUAAAGCUAAUUUGAUAAAGGAAGCAUCUCUAAUUAUCUGGGAUGAAGCACCAAUGAUGAGCCGACAUUGCUUUGAAUCCUUAGACAGAAGUUUAAAUGAUCUAAUGGACAAUCCAGAUAAAAAGCCUUUUGGUGGAAAAGUAAUUGUGUUUGGAGGUGAUUUUCGACAAGUGCUUCCUGUUAUUACAGGAGGUUGUAGGGCUGAGAUUGUUCUGGCUUCCAUGAACUCAUCAUAUCUCUGGGAACACUGCAAAGUUCUGAAGCUUACCAAGAACAUGAGAUUGUGUUCAAACAAUCUCACAGAUGAUGAGGCAAAAGAUCUGAAAGAAUUUUCAGAGUGGAUUUUGGCUGUUGGUGAUGGGAAAGUAUCAGAGCCUAAUGAUGGGGAGGCAUUAAUUGAAAUUCCAAAAGAGUUUCUAAUUAUGGACCCUAACGAUCCUAUUGAGACUAUAAGUCUGGCCAUUUAUGGAGACACUGAUUCAUUGAAAGGGAUAAAAGAUCCUAAGUUUUUCAAAGAGAGAGCAAUCUUAUGUCCAACUAAUGAGGAUGUUAAUAUGAUUAAUGAUCAUAUGUUAUCUAAACUCGAAGGUAAUUUAGUGUUUUUUUACUGUAUAUAUUUUCGUUAUUUUUAUUGACACUGACUCUUUUAUAAAAUUUGGUUAUUUCCCAUCAGGUGAAGAAAUGAUUUAUAUCUCAUCUGACAGUAUAGAUCCAUCUGAUACUGCCUCGGUCAGUAAUGAAGCCCUCAGUUCCGACUUUCUAAACAGCAUUAAAGUUUCUGGGCUACCAAAUCAUAGUCUAAGAUUGAAGGUUGGUUGUCCUGUUAUGUUGCUUAGGAACAUUAAUCCUAAUGAAGGUCUAAUGAAUGGAACAAGAUUGCAAAUUACACAACUUAUGGAUUUCAUGGUGGAAGCUAGAAUCUUAACUGGUGACAAGGUUGGUAAAGACGUUUAUAUUCCUAGAUUGUUGAUCGAGCCUACAGAUAAAAGACUUCCUUUCAAGAUGCGCAGAAGACAAUUGCCUUUAACUGUGGCUUUUGCAAUAACCAUCAACAAGAGUCAAGGACAAUCAUUGUCUGAAGUGGGAUUAUUCCUUCCUAGACCAGUUUUUUCUCAUGGCCAGCUAUAUGUUGCUAUUUCAAGGGUUACUUCGAAGAAAGGUUUGAAAAUCUUGAUUGUGGAUAAAGAAGGGAAGCCGCAAAAUAAAACUACUAAUGUUGUUUUCAAAGAGGUUUUUACUAAUCUGGAAACCAUAGAUGACUGAUGUGAGUGUCUUGCUGCGAAUUUGUUUUGUGUUUUAGUACUUGCAGACUGAAAUUGGUGUUUUGGUUGUGUUUUUUGUUGUACUACAUUUGCUUUAAAGUUUUCAAAGUCAUUUCCGAUUUUGUACUAAAUAAAUUCUUUAAUCAAUCGGUUAGGAAGACUCAAUCUAAAAUAUUUUAUUCUAUCUUACUAAUAGAGGAUUGAAAUCAAACCAAACAUGUAUUGAUCAUCAUGUUUUGACAAAGAAGAAAUAACAGUUUGCCAUCUAAAAUUAAACUGACCAUGUAUCUAAUAAAAUUCAACAAAACAUAGAACAGUUAAUCAGCAACCCAACAACAGAUAUGCAAGAUCAAGUACAUGAAUCUACAAACAAGUCAGUUUAUAUAGUUUAUCAUUUAAGUAAUUGUACAAUCCUAAAGCCGAUAAUCCUAGGAUGAUUCUACAAGUUCAGUUCACGAUUUCUCGAAUUAAAUAAAAAUUUAAUAUAGUACUAACCUUUGUUUCUGUAGUUUAUUUUGUGAAUUGUUCCAAAGCUGUAUUCCCCAGUUUCUCUGGCAUACAACCCUUAUCAAUGACCUAUCAAUAUAUGAGAUGAAAAGACAAAAAAAAAUAAGAACAAGGAAAUAAUAUAAACGAAAACAUAGCAAAAGAUCAACAAGAGAAUAAAUAAAACUGUGUUGAUGUGAACAUAUGUACUAUGAUUAUAUUUCAGGUCAGACUUAACUUUUUAAAAUCUCUGUCAGGUUUGUCUUCUACUCUGCUUUUGUCUUUUUAAAGAUCCAUCGUUUAAACAAUCCUGGCCAAUUACCUAAUAAAAUACCAAGUUCCUUUUUCAGCUUACCGCGAGCAAGACAAAUUAAUAGAAACAAAACUGAGUAAGAAGAUAAUAAUGAUGAUGGAUCUAGAGAUAGAUCUAAGAGAUCUAUCGAUAUGAGUAAGAACCAGAUUUUUAGAUAACGAAACCUGAUCGUUAACCCGGAUCGUUUACAAUCAGAAAAUUAUAAAAACUUACCGAGAACUCAGUUAUCGAUUGAGUUUGGUGAUUGACUGAACGGUGUUUAUCCUGGAUUUGAUAUACUUUUAAAGAAUUUUUGUUGGUGAUUACAGAGAUGAGUAUUGUCUCGAACUGAGAACCACCGACGGAGAAGCAAAGAAAAAAAGGUUGUUGAUUUUUUCAAGAAAACGUUAAAAGUGGUUUUGCUUCCCGGAAAAAAAAGGUGUGGCCUUAUUUUACCUUUCGAUGAAUCUAAUACGUUUUUAACUAAUGGGCCAUUUCUGUAACAACAAAUAUAAUGCUUGAAAAUUUAAUGGAUCAUCACGUAUAAAAUAUAAGAAACAAAAUAGUGCCCAUAAAACAUAUAUGUUGCAUGGUUUUAUGUUGGACUUAAGGUUGACCCAUUUAUGAGACAAAGUUCAGACUUCUUUCCAUUUAAAAAGAUGAAUAAAAACAUCUAUGUUGAGUUUAAUGAGAUAAACAAAAUCAGGCUUUUUUGUUUUAAAAUUAUAAUCUACUCUAUUAAAAUAAAUCUAAUCUCAGUUAAUUUAAAUUGACCAUAUAUUUUUAAAACAUAGUAAACUAUAUCUUAAAUACGGGGACACAAAAAAUUAUUUUCCCAAAUAUGUUAAUAAUAGAUUUUAAAUAACAUAUAAAUAUAUUUUAAAGAACAUAUAUAACAA
rnacentral:lncRNA from 1 species